rnacentral:rRNA from 1 species
AAUACUGGACAAUGGGUGAGAGCCUGAUCCAGCCGUCCCGCGUGAAGGAUUAAGGACCUAUGGUUUGUAAACUUCUUUUCUACAGGGAUAAACCUGCCUACGUGUAGGCAGCUGAAGGUACUGUAGGAAUAAGCACCGGCUAACUCCGUGCCAGCAGCCGCGGUAAUACGGAGGGUGCGAGCGUUAUCCGGAUUUAUUGGGUUUAAAGGGUCCGUAGGCGGGCCUGUAAGUCAGUGGUGAAAUCUCACAGCUCAACUGUGAAACUGCCGUUGAUACUGCAGGCCUUGAGUGUGGUUGAGGUAGCUGGAAUGAGUAGUGUAGCGGUGAAAUGCAUAGAUAUUACUCAGAACACCGAUUGCGAAGGCAGGUUACCAAGCCACAACUGACGCUGAUGGACGAAAGCGUGGGGAGCGAAC